AUUGAACGCUGGCGGCAGGCCUAACACAUGCAAGUCGAACGAGUGGCGGACGGGUGAGUAAUGUCUGGGAAACUGCUCGAUGGAGGGGGAUAACUACUGGAAACGGUAGCUAAUACCGCAUACCAUCGGAUGUGCCCAGAUGGGAUUAGCUAGUAGGUGGGGUAACGGCUCACCUAGGCGACGAUCCCUAGAUGGUCUGAGAGGAUGACCAGGCACACUGUAACUGAGAAACGGUCCAAACUCCGACGGGAGGAAACAGUGGGGAAUAUUGCACAAUGGGCGCAAUCCUGAUGCAGCCAUGCCGCGUGUAUGAGUAAGGCCUUCGGGUUGUAAAGUACGUUCAGGGAGGAGGCGUUACUCGCAGAAUAAGCACCGGCUAACUCCGUGCCAGCGGCGGCGGUAAUAC
rnacentral:rRNA from 1 species